rnacentral:rRNA from 1 species
UUAAAUUGAAGAGUUUGAUCAUGGCUCAGAUUGAACGCUGGCGGCAGGCCUAACACAUGCAAGUCGAACGGUAACAGGAAGUAGCUUGCU